CUACGGGUUGCACCAGUAGGGAAUCUUCCGCAAUGGGCGAAAGCCUGACGGAGCGACACCGCGUGGUGGAUGACGGCCUAUGGGUUGUAAACACCUUUUCUGAGGGAAGAAAAUCUGACGGUACCUCAGGAAUAAGGACCGGCUAAUUACGUGCCAGGCAGCCGCGGUAAUACGUAAGGUCCGAGCGUUACCCGGAAUUAUUGGGCGUAAAGCGUCCGCAGGUGGUGUUAAAAGUCAGUUAUUAAAUACCGGAGCUCAACUUCGGUGCUGUAAUUGAAACUUUAACGCUAGAGGAUAGGAGAGGUGGGUGGAAUUCUGCAAGUAGGGGUAAAAUCCGUAGAUAUGCAGAGGAAUACCAAAAGCGAAGGCAGCACACUGGCCUAUUCCUGACACUCAGGGACGAAAGCGUGGGGAGCAAAAGGGAUUAGAUACCCUCGUAGUC
rnacentral:rRNA from 1 species